CCACACAUCUGUAAUGAUCCAUCAGUAGAAAAAAAAAAAAUUUCGGAGCUGCUGUUGGACUAAAUCACCAAGUGCUGGCAAGCUGCCGGGGUCCUGUUGCUGGGAAGAUCACCAGGUGUUGGCCCGUCACUGACAGCCACUGCUCCAUUACCAGCUGCUCACACAGCAAAAACCUACGGGACGGCAGAAUCACCCUUCCUUCCUUCUCCAAACUCAAGACAACUGUCUCCUUGAUGAGGCCGUGGGAUUAUAGCUGACCUCACUACAGGACAGCAUGGGGCUUCAUAAGACAAAUUGCCACUUUUUCUCAGCCCUCCAACUUCUUCAGCGUCUUCUCCCAAACCUUGACAUUCCCACUAUUGUUUAAUUUUUUUUAAUAAUCUUGUUUAUCUGAAAAAAACUAAUAGUUUAUUUCAACUUUGAAAAAUUACUUUCCUUUACAUUUGUUCCUAGGUUUUUUUUUUUCUUUUUCCCUUUCUUCAGCUUCAGCGGCUAGCUUCUUUGGCCAAUGGAUGAUACAGUGAAUUGCCUGAAUCUAUGACGUGUCCGUGAAUACCAUUUCCCUAGAUUGUAACACCAGCCCAAUUCUUUGGCUCUGCUGGAAGCUAUCCUAAGAGAUGACGGGGGAAUGAUGGGUGAGCCAGCCAGCCUGCAGGCUGAGUCACUCCAGGAAGGCAGACCGUCAGCUGGCAAUUAGGAUGGAGAAGAAGAAAGCGUGCCAGCAAAACAGACUACUUGACAGCGGCCUCGGGAACACCUUGUGGAACUAGAGCACUCAGCUCAUCCUCCAUCAUUACAGCCUUGCAGAGAGGGAUGGAUGGCUGCAUCUGGGAAUGCAUCUGAGUAAUAGACUGGUUCACUUUGAACCAGUGUUCAAAGGGUGUAAAACAAGGAGCUAGCAGGGAGCACAGGAUGUGUUUGGUGUGCGUUCGCUGAAUGGGAGCUCCCAAGAAUCCUCCACAAAGUGAUCCAGUGGAGACCAGCGUGUGUGAAGAAGAGGAUGCUCAUUAGAGAUCUUAAGAAGACCCACCUCACAGGAAUGACAGUGAUCAAUCCCAACCGUGUCUACUAGAAACACCAAUGAAUGACAGAGAGGAAUGGAAGACGCUAGCUUCCACUUCAUGUCCCAGCCUUGCUAUUGGAAGGAGACAGUAAGAAUAAUCUCUGCUCUUGUGCAGGCUAUCGGUUGGGUGGAGCAGCCGCAAGCCUUAAGAACAGCUAAGACUCAUCAACAAGAAAAAAGGAUAGAAAAAUGAAAACAAGCUGGAAAGAGAUGAAUUUCACCAUGAUAUACCUCAUUUUCCUCAGCAGACUGAGAACUGCAGAAUUAGCACAGAUUUCUGCUACUUGAGCUAAUGGAGUGCCACUACCAGUCACAGGUUGUCAUCCUCUGAGUAAAACACUUCCAGAAGAGGCUCGCUGAUGGGCACUGAUGAGAAACACGAAGUGAGGAUUUGCUUCUCAGCUGGGGUGACAAGUAAUCAGGUAGAUGUGUACUCCAGAUGUAAGCUAACCUGCUGUGUCUCCUUCGGCUGCUCACCAUCCUUGUCCUUUGCCUUUCCCACUUCAUCCCAGACUCGGUCUCCUCCUACAGCAAGUCACUGUGGAUCCCAGCUCCUGAUCUCCCAAUCUGAUUACCUCUUUGCUCAUUCCCAGUAUGACAUUCUUUGCUCCCAUUCUACUUGGCUGGACCACCCUAACUCCCCGACCACUCCUCCUGACCGUGUUCCUCAUCUAGCACAGCUCUGGGAUCCAGUAUAUCUGUCUGAGAUUUUCUCCAUGGUGCAUUUGAACAACUCCAUCCUCUGUACUCUUGAGUUGAACAACAGGCCUGCUGGGACCAGAGGAAGGCAGAGCCCUGCUUUCCAUUUGGGUGCCUAGACCUCUUACAGCUCAUGCUAGCAGAUGCCUAUCCAUAGCAAAUGGGACCUUAGGAAAGUUUGCUGUCAAAAUCAAAGUCAUCUUUAUCAAAAAAGUGCACCAUGACUUUUCAUACACUUAUUUCAUGAGUGUCCUAGUUUCAGCUGAGGUAGAGUUAAUCAUCUUCCUAGUAGCUGCUAUGUUUUUGAGUUUGGUAUGAGAAGAAUGUUGAUAACACUGAUGUUUUCAGUUGUUGCUA